rnacentral:tRNA from 1 species
GCCUUCGUGGUGUAAUUGGCAGCACGUCUGGCUAAAAACCAGAAAGUACAGAGUUCGAAACACGCAACGGCA